rnacentral:rRNA from 1 species
AGCAGCCGCGGUAAUUCCAGCUCCAAUAGCGUAUAUUAAAGUUGUUGCAGUUAAAAAGCUCGUAGUUGAAUUUCGGGAUCAAUAUGUUGGUCGUGCCUUGGUACGUACUAAUUUAUUGGUUUCUUCCUUCUGACGAACCACGAUGUCAUUAAUUUGGUGUCUUGAGGAAUCAGGACUGUUACUUUGAAAAAAUUAGAGUGUUUAAAGCAGGCUCACGCUUGAAUACAUUAGCAUGGAGUAAUGAAAUAGGACGUUUGAUUCUAUUUUGUUGGUUUCUAGGAUCGACGUAAUGAUUAAUAGGGAUAGUUGGGGGCAUUAGUAUUCAAUUGUCAGAGGUGAAAUUCUUGGAUUUAUUGAAGACUAACUACUGCGAAAGCAUUUGCCAAGGAUGUUUCGUUAAUCAAGAACGAAAGUUAGGGGAUCGAAGACGAUCAGAUACCGUCGUAGUCU